AUUGAACGCUGGCGGCAGGCCUAACACAUGCAAGUCGAACGAGUGGCGGACGGGUGAGUAAUGUCUGGGAAACUGCCCGAUGGAGGGGGAUAACUACUGGAAACGGUAGCUAAUACCGCAUACCAUCGGAUGUGCCCAGAUGGGAUUAGCUAGUAGGUGGGGUAACGGCUCACCUAGGCGACGAUCCCUAGCUGGUCUGAGAGGAUGACCAGCCACACGGGAACGGAGACACGGUCAAGACUCCGACGGGAGGCAGCAGUGGGGAAUAUUGCACAAUGGGCGCAAGCCUGAUGCAGCCAGGCCGCGUGUAUGAAGAGGGCCUUGUGGUUGUAAAGUACUUUCAGGGGGGAGGCGUUACUCGCAGAAGAAGCACCGGCUAACUCCGGGCCAGCAGCCGCGUUAAUUC
rnacentral:rRNA from 1 species